GCGCCGCCUCAGCCCUCAGCCCUCAGCCUCCGCCCUCAGCCCUCAGCCUCCGCCCUCAGCCUCCGUCCCCGGCCCUCAGCCUGCGUUCCCGGCCCUCAGCCUCCGCCCUCAACUCUCAGCCUCCGUCCUCAGCUCUCAGCCUCCGUCCCCCGCCCCGCUUCCCUCGCCGGGAGCCCCGGCCCCGCCAAAGCCCAGCCCCGGCCGUGUGGAAGUCUUCUCUGGAGGCAGCUCUGCUGUAAGUGCCCCGCCAAGUCGGAGCUCUGGUGGAGUUUGAGGCCAGAAGAUGGAACUCCCUGGCUGCCACCCACCUGCAGCAGCAGCUACAGCUGGGAUCAGCUGUUAUAUAAAUGUCUCUGUAUUAUACUGGAAAUUGAACACUGACAGCGUAGGAGAGACAUGUGAAGAGGAGGAGGAGGAAGAAUUGUUCCAGCAGUGGUGGAUGUAUGUUUGGAUGGUGCAGGUGCCCACUUCAUUCACUGCAUCCCUUCAGCACCAAGAGUUCAACCCAGUGCUGGCUAAUUCCAGGGCCUGAAACUGUAUCUACAUGCAAAUCUCAUCCUUUGGAAUCAACUUUCCUUUGUGUCCUGAUAGCUGUCUUCUUUCAAAAAAAAAAUCCAGUGUUGCCAUUGACCUUGAGUAUUUUUAAGAGGGAAGAGCAGAGGAGGCAAAUAAGUGCAAUUUCAGCCCUUGUUUACCAGUCAUCCCUGAAUGUGCCAAAUGCCACAGCUGCCACUGACUUUGAGGAACCCUGGUAUUUGAAUGAAAGAGCAAUAGAUAUCCUCCUGAGAAUUUUUACUAGGAUUAAUGGAACUAGUGGUAGAAAUGAUGCUAUAAGGAAUGAGAAAACAAGGCCUGAAUUAAUAAAACCUUACAGUACAGUACCAUGCAAAGCACUGUGGAAAUGGCAGUGGAUAUUACAUGGGAUGGCCCUCACAUGCUCAGCUCCAUUAGCUUGGACAAUUCAAGGGGAUCUCAGCUGGGUUUCCUGGCCAGGUUACAUAGGUCUCCUGGAAGGCAAGUGGUGCUGCUGGAGGAAAAACCAAUCGGUUCAGAGGUCUGGGCCAGUUCUCCAAGUGCUCUACUGCCUCCUUUGUUUCCAACUGUUCUAUUUCCCAAGAAAACAAACAUCUCCACUACAACUUCCAAGUAGAAUGUGGAAGCAGCACAAUCUCCUGAGAUCUGGUUUCCAGACAAAGGGAGUUCAGACAGAAAUUGGAGCUUCUGGUUGUGUUUUGAACUCUGCCUGCCCCCGGUGUUCUCUCUCCUUGAACUGGCAAUAGGAAUUGCAUCUCACUCAUCUGGCUGAACAGUGGCUGCAGUUGCCUUUGACUCGUGUGACUUUAAACAGGACAUUGCUACAAGACUUGAACAAAUACACUGGACUCUAUGAAACCAUCAGAUUUAACUGUCCCUGUGGUACGCACUCCUGGAAACUUGCUAAUUCAUUACGUAACAAAGCAAUUCUCAUGCUGACUGAAAAAAAGAAAAAGCUAGAAUUAUUUUCAAUGACAUAUUCUUUAUUCUUUAUUUUUAUUCAUUAUUAUUUAAAAAGUUAUAUAUUUCAUAUUAAGAGCUACUCACCCUAUGGUAAAAUGUCUUUCAUCUCCUGUAUAAACUUUCUAAAAAUUUGAAAUUCUAUUCAAAGAUUUGGGAGUCCUAAGAGCAGCCUCUGCUGAUGCAUAAGGAAAUUGUUUCUCAAUUUUUCCAGUGGAUGCAUGAGAUUUUUUUUGCAUAUCCACAAGAAGUUUGUAAGAACUGUUCGGUGUUUGUAUGUCACUUGGUAAAUAUAAAAGCCUUCACGGAUUAUAAAUUUAAAGUAACUCAAGUAAAUAAGAGGAUCAGCAUUAAAAAUCUCGGAUGUUAUGAACAAUGUAGUUGAAACCACAAUGGUUUUACGGUGCAACAAUAGAAUUAUGGUACUCUAAUGAGUAGGAUGUCCCUGUCUCUUUCCCCUCCAUAAUAAAUGGGAGUACUGGUGCA
ensembl:lncRNA uncharacterized LOC111936041